AACGCUGGCGGCGUGCUUAACACAUGCAAGUCGAACGGUGACGGAGAGCUUGCUCUCCUGAUCAGUGGCGAACGGGUGAGUAACACGUGGGCAACCUGCCCCAGACUUCGGGAUAACGCUUCGAAAGAGGUGCUAAUACCGAAUACGAACGCCGUGGGCAUCCACGGUGUUGGAAAGUUUUCGGUCUGGGAUGGGCCCGCGGCCUAUCAGCUUGUUGGUGAGGUAAUGGCUCACCAAGGCGACGACGGGUAGCCGGCCUGAGAGGGCGACCGGCCACACUGGGACUGAGACACGGCCCAGACUCCUACGGGAGGCAGCAGUGGGGAAUAUUGCGCAAUGGGCGAAAGCCUGACGCAGCAACGCCGCGUGGGGGAUGAAGGCCUUCGGGUUGUAAACCUCUUUCAGCAGGGAAGAAGCGAAAGUGACGGUACCUGCAGAAGAAGCACCGGCUAACUACGUG
rnacentral:rRNA from 1 species